rnacentral:rRNA from 1 species
UACGUAGGGUGCAAGCGUUAAUCGGAAUUACUGGGCGUAAAGCGUGCGCAGGCGGUUUUGUAAGUUUGUCGUGAAAUCCCCGGGCUCAACCUGGGAAUUGCGAUGAAGACUGCAAAGCUGGAGUCUGGCAGAGGGGGGUAGAAUUCCACGUGUAGCAGUGAAAUGCGUAGAGAUGUGGAGGAACACCGAUGGCGAAGGCAGCUCGCUGGCCCGGUACUGACGCUCAUGCACGAAAGCGUGGGGAGCAAACAGG